UAUGACAGCAUGGCAUCCAUUUCGACUGAGCAGAAUACACAGCCCACCCCUCAGCUUCUGUCAGUCGGAGAAAAGGAUAAGAAACGGCUGCUGGAGGUGUAUGUGAAGCGAAGUCUCAGCCUUAACGAUGGAUCACAAUGUCCUCUGAGACAGGAGCAAAGAUCACGCAAAUGGGUUGCCAUCACAGAGCCGAAGACAAGACAUCGCAAACAUUCCAGCGAUACUUCUCUGAACUUGACUUCACAAGCCUCCAUCUCAGAUGAGGACGUUAGAUAUGAGCCCGUCGCUGAAACACAUCUGGAUGAAAAGGAGACGUCGUCUGAGAAGAAAUCCAAAAAGUGGAGCAUUAAAGGGAGUCUGCGCCGCAAUGAUAGUUCUAAUGCAUCGCAAAAGUCCAAUAACAAACCCAAGUGGUUUCAACGUUUGGAUAAGGGCAAGGAGGGAAGCAUUGAUGCUUUACCUCCCCAAACAAGUACAGUUACUCCUGGAGAUAUGCAUUCAAAUGUGCUAGAUAAUGUGGAUACUGCUACGGUGGAAAGGAAGGGCAAAGAAGGCAAGAAGACAAAGAAACCCACCGUAUGGAAAAGUUUCUUGAGCUGGUUUUCCAAAGGAAACAGUGAAAAAGAACAAGAUCAUCAGAGAACCGAUGAACAGCUACCUCCUUCCCAACACUCAACACCCCAAAUCUCUUGUUUGCCUUUAGCUGACACCCUAUCAAAAAGUGAUGUCAACCUGCGACGUUCAAAGUCUUCGAAAAAGAAAUUGUUGCACAGGAGAUCAUUAAAAUGCAGGCAAAGUGGAGAUAUGUCCACUGAAAAAUCUGUUGAGAAAGUGGAACCCACUAACUCAUACUAUGAGAAAAUGUCAGAGGAACUGGAGAAAAUUGUGCAUGAAGUGAAAGACAGUCCAGCAGAUGACAAUGUCACUUUCCAAGUAACAGACCAGAAUGGUGUAAAUGUCUCAAAAGAAGACAUUAUAAAGAGAAUCACAGAACUUAUAAAACAGGAAGGAGACUUAAUACAUAAAAAGAUGCAAAAGAACAGCACUGUGAGCAAUUAUCUGGAUGGAUUCACCUAUGGAUUGUUCCAGCAAAUGGCUGAUCAAUAUGUUCAGUCAGAAGUUCCCAAUAAGAAAACCCAGCUGCCUGUCGUGGCACCAGAGCUGGUGAAGUUCGCCUUCACUCUGGACUUCACAGCCAGAGUGGCUAAUCUACACCACCAAGCCACAGGCCAAAUCAUGGGCUUCGGGAACCAGUAUCUCCAAGAUCGCUUCACUCACAUGAGUGAGAGCCAUCCGCAUCUCUCUGACUUUAAAGCAGAGGAUCGGGAAAACACAACUCUGAGCAAGAAUUCUUAA
ensembl:lncRNA